UACUAUGCUUAGAAGACGCGCAGCGGUGGUUUAAUAUGUGUUAGGACCAUUUGCUUUAAAGGAACACAUCCACAAGUUUCGUCGAACAAAGUGCCAGUGGUGCAGCACCCUCACCAUGUCCACCCCCUCACGCCUCUUAUCACGUACAGCAAUGAACACUUCACGCCGGGAAACCCACCUCCACACUUACCAGCCGACGUAGACCCCAAAACAGGAAUCCCACGGCCUCCGCACCCUCCAGAUAUAUCCCCGUAUUACCCACUAUCGCCUGGCACCGUAGGACAAAUCCCCCAUCCGCUAGGAUGGUUAGUACCACAGCAAGGUCAACCAGUGUACCCAAUCACGACAGGAGGAUUCAGACACCCCUACCCCACAGCUCUGACCGUCAAUGCUUCCAUGUCCAGGUUCCCUCCCCAUAUGGUCCCACCAC
rnacentral:sRNA from 1 species